AAACAGCCCCCUAUGUUUUGAUUCUUUAGCAGUUUUGGACCCCCAAGGCAAAAAAAUAAAAAUAAAAUUGACAUGUGGCACCUCACUUAGGGUGCCACGUCAGCGUUGACCGAGUCAACAAUGGACUGGGGGUCCAAAACUGCCAAAAAAUCAAAACAUAGGGGACUGUUU
rnacentral:pre_miRNA from 1 species